UCCAAAAACUCGGCUGAGACUAGUUUCUUCAGGCCCACUGUUCUUUUAAGCCCAAGCAAAACUCGAUCCCGUUCGCUUCGCCGGGUCUCCCAUGCCGCCGGCGAGGAGCCCGGCCGCCGGCCUGCGGCGGCGCAAAGUCUUCCUCCCUCUCGUGUUGCUCCUCCCCCUUAUUCUACUGACCCUAAUCCUGAUCUUCCCAUCUCGCUCCAUCCCCGCGCUCCGCGACGCAGCUCUCAGGUCCCAACAGACCUGCGACUACGCUGCCGGCGGAUGGGUGCCCGACUCCUCCGCUGAGUCCCACCUCCGGUACGACCACACGUGCAAGGAGAUCUUCAAGGGGUGGAACUGCAUCGCUAAUGGCAAGCGCAACGGCCACGCCCUCCUCCGCUGGCGAUGGAAGCCCGCCGGGUGCGAGCUACUCCCCAGACUCGACCCGCUCCGGUUCUUAGAGCGUCACAGGAACACCAACAUUGGAUUUGUGGGUGAUUCUUUGAAUCGAAACAUGUUUGUCUCAUUGGUCUGCAUGCUCAGGGGAGUGAACGGAGAGGUUCACAAGUGGCGUCCAGCAGGGGCAGACCGAGGUUUCACAUUCCUACGCUACAACCUCACCCUCGCAUACCACCGAACUAAUCUUUUGGUACGCUAUGGCAGCUGGUCAGCCAGUCCAAACGGAGGUCCCCUAGAAUCUCUUGGAUACAAGCAAGGCCACAGGAUUGAUGUUGAUAUUGCCGACCAAACAUGGGCAGAGGCACCAAGCUUCCAUGAUAUUCUUAUUUUCAAUACAGGACAUUGGUGGUGGUCCUCUUCAAAGUUUGAUCCAAUACAGUCACCGAUGCUCUUCUUUGAGAAAGGGAAGCCGAUUAUACCUCCUUUACUGCCACCUGAAGGACUGGAUUUGACUCUUAAACACAUGAUAACAUUUGUGAACAAAGCAAUGAGACCCAAUGGAUUGAAAUUCUUCAGCACUCAAUCUCCUAGACAUUUUGAAGGUGGUGAUUGGAAUGAAGGUGGAUCUUGUCAACAUGACCAACCCUUGUCCUCUGAAGAGCCCAUUUACAAUCUCCUUCAUGUAUUGCUCCUCACGUCGUCUCAAGCAACGUGCUCGCGUGUAGGACGAAAGGAAUCAAACCAGCUCCCGCGCAAAACUAUAUAACCAGCACUAGAACCAACCUCAGGUCAAUCCAUCUGUCAACAGUUCAUUUCUCCGACGAGCGCGAUGAGGACGGCGUUGUCGCUUCUCUCCUUCCUCACCGUCUCAGUGCUUAUCCUCGCCCCCAUGGCGAUGGCGGACGGCUACAGCCAGCCGCAAGACUACCAGCCGCCGGCCUACAGGAAGCCCGCGGACGGCCUUGUCGCCGGAUACUACGGCGAGUCGUGCCCCGACAUGGAGGGCAUCGUCCAGAGGGCCGUCAAGAAGGCCUUCGCCGCAGACUACACCAUCGCCGCGGGCCUCAUCCGCCUCUUCUUCCACGACUUUGCCGUCGGGGGGUGCGACGCGUCGAUCCUGAUAGAUGCGCCGGGGAGCGAGAAGUACGCCGCGGCGAGCAAGACGCUCCGGGGCUUCGAGCUCAUCGAGGCCAUCAAGACGGAGCUGGAGGCCAAGUGCCCCGAGACCGUCUCCUGCGCCGACAUCCUCACCGCCGCCACCCGCGACGCCAGCAGGGAGGUGGGAGUGAGCUACUGGCCUCUCGUCUACGGCCGGAAGGACGGCCGCCAGUCCCGCAAAG